CCAUCGGUGGUUCAGUGGUAGAUUCCCGGGAUUUCCCCCGGGUUCGAUUCCCGGCCGAUACA
rnacentral:tRNA from 1 species